AUACAAUAUCUUCAGAUGAAUCUACUAAGGACCAAACCUUAUUGGAAUGCAUGAAGUCAAUCUCUAACUUCCUCACUUCCAUCCAUUUCUCAGAGUCUAUAUCUAACAUUGCCUCAUCAUAGGUUUUGGGAUCAUUCCUAAUGUUUCUAUCUUUCAUAAGAAAUACUUCUUCUAAAUCUUCUAUAAGAAUAUCUAAGUACCUUUCAGGAGGACGGAAGAUCUUACUUGAUCUAUG
rnacentral:lncRNA from 1 species